UUGAUAGUAUGGAGAGCGGCGGACGGGUGAGUAACGCGUAGGCAACCUGCCUUAUGCAGAGGGAUAGCCAUUGGAAACGAUGAUUAAAACCUCAUAAUGCCAAGAGUUCACAUGUACUUUUGGCCAAAGAUUUAUCGGCAUAAGAUGGGCCUGCGUCUGAUUAGCUAGUUGGUGAGGUAACGGCUCACCAAGGCGACGAUCAGUAGCCGACCUGAGAGGGUGAUCGGCCACAUUGGAACUGAGACACGGUCCAAACUCC
rnacentral:rRNA from 1 species